rnacentral:rRNA from 1 species
GUGGGGAAUUUUGGACAAUGGGCGCAAGCCUGAUCCAGCCAUGCCGCGUGCAGGAUGAAGGCCUUCGGGUUGUAAACUGCUUUUGUACGGAACGAAAAGACUUCUUCUAAUACAGGAGGUCCAUGACGGUACCGUAAGAAUAAGCACCGGCUAACUACGUGCCAGCAGCCGCGGUAAUACGUAGGGUGCAAGCGUUAAUCGGAAUUACUGGGCGUAAAGCGUGCGCAGGCGGUUAUAUAAGACAGAUGUGAAAUCCCCGGGCUCAAGCUGGUAACUGCAUUUGUGACUGUAUAGCUAGAGUACGGUAGAGGGGGAUGGAAUUCCGCGUGUAGCAGUGAAAUGCGUAGAUAUGCGGAGGAACACCGAUGGCGAAGGCAAUCCCCUGGACCUGUACUGACGCUCAUGCACGAAAGCGUGGGGAGCAAACAGGAUUAGAAACCCGGGUAGUCC